GGGCCUAUGGGUAAGUGGUAUACCGCCGUCUUCGCAUGACGGAGUCGCCAGUUCGAUUCUGGCUGGGUCCACCA
rnacentral:tRNA from 1 species